GAUGAAGAACGUAGUGAAAUGCGAUAAGUAGUGUGAAUUGCAGACUUUAGUGAAUCAUCGAAUCUUUGAACGCACAUUGCGCCCGGUAGUAAUCUGCCGGGCAUGCCUGUCCGAGCGUCAUUUCAACCCUCGAACCACUAUUCGCGUAGCUGGAUCGGUGUUGGGGCACUACGGUGGAAUACCCGUAGGCCCCGAAAUGAAGUGGCGGUCCCGCCGCGGCGCCCCCAUGCGUAGUAACAUCUCGUCUCGCAUCGGGUCCCGGCGGAGGCCUGCCGUCAAGCCUAUUUUCUAAUUACAGAUGGUUUGACCUCGGAUCAGGUAGGGUUACCCGCUGAACUUAAGCAUAUCAAUAAGCGGAGGA
rnacentral:misc_RNA from 1 species